GAUGAAGAACGUAGCGAAAUGCGAUACGUAAUGUGAAUUGCAGAAUUCAGUGAAUCAUCGAAUCUUUGAACGCACAUUGCGCCCGCCAGUAUUCUGGCGGGCAUGCCUGUUCGAGCGUCAUUUCAACCAUCAAGCCCCCGGGCUUGUGUUGGGGACCUGCGGCUGCCGCAGGCCCUGAAAAGCAGUGGCGGGCUCGCUGUCACACCGAGCGUAGUAGAUUUUAUCUCGCUCUGGGCGUGCUGCGGGUUCCGGCCGUUAAACCACCCUUUUAACCCAAGGUUGACCUCGGAUCAGGUAGGAAGACCCGCUGAACUUAAGCAUAUCAAUAAGCGGAGGA
rnacentral:misc_RNA from 1 species